rnacentral:lncRNA from 1 species
UUGGCUUAGGCAUAUGAAGUUCAUUCCAUGUCUAAGCAUACAGAGUUCAUUCCCAGUCUAAGAUUUUGAGCCACGGUGCACAUGCUGGGCUAAGGCAUGUGCUGGUGCCGCAUUUUUUUUGCCCGGGGCACCAUCGUCGGAGCAUCGCCGGAGAGCCUAACCGACGGCAUUGGGGGUUCCGACGAUUGGGGGGGUUGGGGGGUGUGCGGACAUGAUGUGUGAUGGGUGCUGGUACUUGACCCUUAUAUUGGCCCCAUAUCCCUCAUCAAACCUUGAGAACUCACACCCCCUUAAAGAGCAUUUGAGAUUUUAUAGGUUUGCUGCCAGUAGCCAUUAAAGUGUCUGAAAUGGGGACACUUUUUUCAAACGGUCACAAAAUCUUCUCCAGUUUGAGUUUUUCGCUGAAUUUUUUUUUGCAUGCUAAAAAAAAUACAAGGAUCAUCUCUACCAAAUUUGGGGACAAAAAUCUUUCUAAAAAAUUUUUAAAAAAUCCCGAACCGCAAAAAGUUUCAAAAAUCAUGAAAAAUAAAAAACGGGUCAUCUUGCCACGAAACUUCACAUGAAGGCUUAGGGGACCAUUGUAUGAAUUUAAAAGCCAUACAAAUGGUAUUGGCAUGGUAGAAAUAUGAAGAUGUGCUUGGACACACCUACCAUCCGUUUGAUCCCCGACUUGUGCAUCUUGCCUCUCUGGUCGACUGAGGACUCGCAUGCUCGUUUCGUGGGUUGACCUAGGCAUACGGAGUUCAUCCCCAGUCUAAGCAUACAGAGUUCAUUCCUAGUCUAAGAUCAAACUGGGAUGAAGGUUGCGAUAGCAGGAUCGACAGCACGUAGGGGGGACUGGGCCAUCCCUGACUUGUACAUUCUGCCUCUCCAAUCGACAAAGCGCCCGCAUGCUCGUUUCGUGGGUUGGCUUAGGCAUACGGAGUUCAUUCCAUGUCUAAGCAUAUGGAGUUCAUUCCCAAUCUAAGAUUUUGAGCCUCGGUGUACAUGCUGGGCUCGGGCAUGUACUGGUGCCGUAUUUUUUUUGCUCGGGGCACCAUCGCCGGAGCAUCACUGGAGAGCCUAACCGACGGCAUUGGGGGUUCCGGAGAUUGGGGUGCCGGGGGGUGUGCACACAUGAUGUGCGAUGGGUGCUGGUACUUGGCCCUUAUAUUGGCCCCCUAUCCCUCAUCAAAUCUUGAGAACUCACACCCCCUUAAAGAGCAUUUGAGAUUUUAUAGCUUUGUUACCAGUAGCCAUUAAAGUGUUUGAAAUGGGGACUCUUUUUUCAAACGGUCACAAAAUCUUCUCCACUUUGACUUUUUAGCUGAAUUUUUUUAUGCAUGCCAACAGAAAUACAAGGAUCAUGAACCGAAAAAAGUUUUGAAAAUUGUGAAAAAUAGAAAACAGGUCAUCUUGCCACGAAACUUCACAUGAAGGCUUAGGGGACCAUUGUAUGAAUUUACAAGCCAUAAAAAUGGCAUUGGGACGGCAGAAAUAUGAAGAUGUGCUUGAACCCACCUACCACACGUUCGAUCUUAGGCUUGCGCAUCCUGUCUCUCUGGUCGACUGAGUGCCCGUACGCUCGUUUCAUGGGUUGACUUAGGCAUACGGAGUUCAUCCUCAGUCUAAGCAUAAGGAGUUCAUUCCCAGUCUAGGAUCGGAUCGGAUCGAUGGUUGCGGUAGCAGGAUCGGUAGCACGCAGGGGGGAUCGAGCCAAUUCCCGGCUUACGCAUUCUGCCUCUCCGAUCAGCUGAGUGCCUGUACGCCCGUUUCAUGGGUUGGCUUAGGCAUAUGGAGUUCAUUCCAUGUCUAAGCAUAUGGAGUUCAUUCCCAGUCUAAGAUUGGACCAGAUCGAGGGUUGCGAUAGUAGGACUAGUAGCAGGAUCGGUAGCAUGCAGGGGGGGAUCAGUCCGAUCCUCGGCUUGUGCAUUCUGCCUCUCCGACUGACUGAGCGCCUGCAAGCUCGUUUCGUGGGUUGGCUUAGCCAGACAGAGUUCAUUCCAUCUCUAAGCCCCAGCCGGACCGAGGGUUGUGGUAGCAGGACCGACAGCACGCAGAGAGGGAUCGGCCUGAUCCCCGGCUUACGUAUUAUGCCUCUCUGAUCGGCUGAAUGCCCGCACGCUCAUUUCGUGGGUUGACUUAGGCCCACAGAGUUCAUCCCCAGUCGAAGCAAACAGAGUUCAUUCCCAGUCUAAGAUCAAAUCAGAUCGAGGGUUAUGGUAGCAGGAUCGAUAGUACGUAGAAGGGAUCGGGCCGAUCCCCGACUUGCGCAUUUUGCCUCUCCAGCCAGCUGCGCCGCAUGCUCUUUCUUGUGGGUCCAUGCUAACCAACCCAACGCGGACCAAGGGUGUUGGCAGUGGGAUGCAGAAUGUAGAAGGGGAUUGGGUCGACCCCUUGCGCAUUAUGCUCUUCGGGCUCAGCGCCCACAACUCAUUUCGUGGCUUGACUUUUGCAUACGGAGUUCGUUCCCAGUCUAAGAUUGGACCAAACCAAGGGUUACAACAGCAGGAUCGACAGCAAGCAGGGGGGAUCAGGCUGAUCACCGGCUUGCGCAUUCUACCUCUUCGGCCGGCUGAGCCCCCGCACGCUUGUUUUGUGGGUUGGCUUAGGCAUACGGAGUUCAUUCCAUGUCUAAGCAUACGUAGUUCAUUCGAUUUUGAGCCACGGUGCACAUGCUUGGCUCCAGCAUGUGCUGGUGCCGCAUUUUUUUCACUCGGGACAGCAUCGCCGGAGCAUCGCCAGAGCAUCGCCGGAGUACCGUCGGAGAACCUGACCGGCGGCAUUGGGGUUCCGGCGAUUGGGAGGGGGGCCGGGGGGGUGUGCGCACAUGAUGUGCGAUGGGUGCUGGUACUUGGCCCUUGUAUUGGCCCCCUAUCCCUCAUCAAACCUCUGAGAACUCACACCCCCUUAAAGAGCAUUUGAGAUUUUACAGGUUUGCUGCCAGUAGCCGUUCAAGUGUCUGAAAUGGGGACACUUUUUUCAAACGGUCACGAAAUCUUCUCCGGUUCGAGUUUUUAGCUGAAUUUUUUUGUGCAUGCCAACAAAAAUAGAAGGAUCACGUCCACAAAAUUUGGGGCCAAAACUCCUUCUAAAAAAAUUCUAAAAAAUCCCGAACCGCAAAAAGUUUCGAAAAUCGUGAAAAAUAGAAAACGAGUCAUCUUCCAACGAAACUUCACGUGAAGGCUUAGGGGACCAUUGUAUGAAUUUACAAGCCAUAAAAAUGGCAUUGGCACGGCAGAAAUUUGAAGAUGUGCCUAAACCCACCUAGCACCCGAUCGAUCCCCGGCUUGCGCAUCCUGCCUCUCCGGCCGGCUGAGCGCCCGCACGCUCGUUCCGUGGGUUGACUUAGCCAUACGGAGUUCAUUCCAUGUCUAAGCCCCAGUCGGACCGAGGGUCGCGGCAGCUGGACCGGCAGCGGGAUUGGCAGCAGCACGCGGGGGGACCGGGCCGAUCCCCGGCUUGCGCAUUAUGCCCCUCCAGUCGACUGAGCGCCCGCACGCUCGUUUCGUGGGUUGACUUAGGCAUACGGAGUUCAUUCCCGAUCUAAGCAUACGGAGCUCAUUCUCGGUCUAAGAUCGGACCGACAGCGGGAUUGGCAGCAGCACGCGGGGGGGACCGGAUCGGUCUCCGGCUUGCGCAUUAUGCCCCUCCGGCCGGCUGAGCGCCCGCACGCUCGUUCCGUUGGUUGACUUAGGCACACGGAGUUCAUUCCAUGUCUAAG